rnacentral:rRNA from 37 species
GGUUGACCUCGGAUCAGG